GACGAACGCUGGCGGCGUGCUUAACACAUGCAAGUCGAACGGAAAGGCCCUGCUUUUGUGGGGUGCUCGAGUGGCGAACGGGUGAGUAACACGUGAGUAACCUGCCCUUGACUUUGGGAUAACUUCAGGAAACUGGGGCUAAUACCGGAUAGGAGCUCCUGCUGCAUGGUGGGGGUUGGAAAGUUUCGGCGGUUGGGGAUGGACUCGCGGCUUAUCAGCUUGUUGGUGGGGUAGUGGCUUACCAAGGCUUUGACGGGUAGCCGGCCUGAGAGGGUGACCGGCAACAUUGGGACUGAGAUACGGCACAGACUCCUACGGGAGGCAGCAGUGGGGAAUAUUGCACAAUGGGCGGAAGCCUGAUGCAGCAACGCCGCGUGCGGGAUGACGGCCUUCGGGUUGUAAACCGCUUUCGCCUGUGACGAAGCGUGAGUGACGGUAAUGGGUAAAGAAGCACCGGCUAACUACGUG
rnacentral:rRNA from 1 species